CUGCUGCCUCCCGUAGGAGUUUGGACCGUGUCUCAGUUCCAAUGUGGGGGACCUUCCUCUCAGAACCCCUACUGAUCGUCGCCCCGGUGGGCCGUUACCCCGCCGGCAAGCUAAUCAGACGCAUCCCCAUCCUUUACCGGCCGAAGCCUUUGGUCAUGAAAAUAUGCAUCAACAUGACAACAUACGGUAUUAAUCCGCCUUUCGACGGGCUGUCCCAUAGUAAACGGGCAGGUUGGAUACGCGUUACUCACCCGUAGCCGGUCCGGUCCGAC
rnacentral:rRNA from 1 species